CGAGCGGACAGAUGGGAGCUUGCUCCCUGAUGUUAGCGGCGGACGGGUGAGUAACACGUGGGUAACCUGCCUGUAAGACUGGGAUAACUCCGGGAAACCGGGGCUAAUACCGGAUGGUUGUUUGAACCGCAGGUUCAGACAUAAAAGGUGGCUUCGGCUACCACUUACAGAUGGACCCGCGGCGCAUUAGCUAGUUGGUGAGGUAACGGCUCACCAAGGCAACGAUGCGUAGCCGACCUGAGAGGGUGAUCGGCCACACUGGGACUGAGACACGGCCCAGACUCCUACGGGAGGCAGCAGUAGGGAAUCUUCCGCAAUGGACGAAAGUCUGACGGAGCAACGCCGCGUGAGUGAUGAAGGUUUUCGGAUCGUAAAGCUCUGUUGUUAGGGAAGAACAAGUGCCGUUCAAAUAGGGCGGCACCUUGACGGUACCUAACCAGAAAGCCACGGCUAACUACGUGCCAGCAGCCGCGGUAAUACGUAGGUGGCAAGCGUUGUCCGGAAUUAUUGGGCGUAAAGGGCUCGCAGGCGGUUUCUUAAGUCUGAUGUGAAAGCCCCCGGCUCAACCGGGGAGGGUCAUUGGAAACUGGGGAACUUGAGUGCAGAAGAGGAGAGUGGAAUUCCACGUGUAGCGGUGAAAUGCGUAGAGAUGUGGAGGAACACCAGUGGCGAANGCGACUCUCUGGUCUGUAACUGACGCUGAGGAGCGAAAGCGUGGGGAGCGAACAGGAUUAGAUACCCUGGUAGUCCACGCCGUAAACGAUGAGUGCUAAGUGUUAGGGGGUUUCCGCCCCUUAGUGCUGCAGCUAACGCAUUAAGCACUCCGCCUGGGGAGUACGGUCGCAAGACUGAAACUCAAAGGAAUUGACGGGGGCCCGCACAAGCGGUGGAGCAUGUGGUUUAAUUCGAAGCAACGCGAGAACCUUACCAGGUCUUGACAUCCUCUGACAAUCCUAGAGAUAGGACGUCCCCUUCGGGGGCAGAGUGACAGUGGUGCAGGGUUGUCGUCAGCUCGUGUCGUGAGAUGUGGGUAAGUCCCGCACGAGCGCAACCCUUGAU
rnacentral:rRNA from 1 species